GGUUGUAGACUUUACAAUUCUCUUUGGAAAAUUCUACUUUGAGUUCAUCAUCACACAGUUGACUUAUACUGAUAAGGUUUGCUUUGAGUCCUUGUACCAAAAAGACUCUUGGUAAUCUGGGCAGUCCAUGGACAUUCAAGUAAUAACAUCUGAUUCUCCUUCGGUGUUGAAAGUGAUGUUGUGACACCUCAGGAUUUUCAGAAGAGUGGCUUUCACUGGACGCUGGAUUUGGAGAUCUAGGCCUUCCAUCUAGUGCCUUGAUUUCUUGUAACAGUUUGGCCUCUCUGUUUUUAGAUUCUAAUAAUUCAUUUUGAGUUUCUUU